rnacentral:rRNA from 1 species
UACAGAGGUCUCAAGCGUUGUUCGGAUUCAUUGGGCGUAAAGGGUGCGUAGGUGGCGGUGUAAGUCAGGUGUGAAAUCUCGAGGCUCAACCUCGAAACUGCACUUGAUACUGCCUUGCUCGAGUACUGGAGAGGAGAUUGGAAUUUACGGUGUAGCAGUGAAAUGCGUAGAUAUCGUAAGGAAGACCAGUGGCGAAGGCGAAUCUCUGGACAGUUACUGACACUGAGGCACGAAGGCCAGGGGAGUAAACGGG